GGCGGCGUGCCUAACACAUGCAAGUCGAGCGAUUCUCUUCGGAGAAGAGCGGCGGACGGGUGAGUAACGCGUGGGUAACCUGCCCUAUACACACGGAUAACAUACCGAAAGGUAUGCUAAUACGAGAUAACAUAAGAGAUUCGCAUGGAUUUCUUAUCAAAGCUUUUGCGGUAUAGGAUGGACCCGCGUCUGAUUAGCUAGUUGGUAAGGUAACGGCUUACCAAGGCGACGAUCAGUAGCCGACCUGAGAGGGUGAUCGGCCACAUUGGAACUGAGACACGGUCCAAACUCCUACGGGAGGCAGCAGUGGGGAAUAUUGCACAAUGGGCGAAAGCCUGAUGCAGCAACGCCGCGUGAGCGAUGAAGGCCUUCGGGUCGUAAAGCUCUGUCCUCAAGGAAGAUAAUGACGGUACUUGAGGAGGAAGCCCCGGCUAACUACGUGCCAGCAGCCGCGGUAAUACGUAGGGGGCUAGCGUUAUCCGGAAUUACUGGGCGUAAAGGGUGCGUAGGUGGUUUCUUAAGUCAGAGGUGAAAGGCUACGGCUCAACCGUAGUAAGCCUUUGAAACUGAGAAACUUGAGUGCAAGAGAGGAGAGUAGAAUUCCUAGUGUAGCGGUGAAAUGCGUAGAUAUUAGGAGGAAUACCAGUUGCGAAGGCGGCUCUCUGGACUGUAACUGACACUGAGGCACGAAAGCGUGGGGAGCAAACAGGAUUAGAUACUCUGGUAGUCCACGCUGUAAACGAUGAGUACUAGCUGUCGGAGGUUACCCCCUUCGGUGGCGCAGCUAACGCAUUAAGUACUCCGCCUGGGAAGUACGCUCGCAAGAGUGAAACUCAAAGGAAUUGACGGGGACCCGCACAAGUAGCGGAGCAUGUGGUUUAAUUCGAAGCAACGCGAAGAACCUUACCUAAGCUUGACAUCCUCCUGACCUCUCCCUAAUCGGAGAUUUCCCUUCGGGGACAGAAGUGACAGGUGGUGCAUGGUUGUCGUCAGCUCGUGUCGUGAGAUGUUGGGUUAAGUCCCGCAACGAGCGCAACCCUUGCCUUUAGUUGCCAGCAUUAAGUUGGGCACUCUAGAGGGACUGCCAGGGAUAACCUGGAGGAAGGUGGGGAUGACGUCAAAUCAUCAUGCCCCUUAUGCUUAGGGCUACACACGUGCUACAAUGGGUGGUACAGAGGGCGGCCAAGUCGUGAGGCGGAGCUAAUCCCUUAAAGCCAUUCUCAGUUCGGAUUGUAGGCUGAAACUCGCCUACAUGAAGCUGGAGUUACUAGUAAUCGCAGAUCAGAAUGCUGCGGUGAAUGCGUUCCCGGGUCUUGUACACACCGCCCGUCACACCAUGGGAGUUGGGGGCGCCCGAAGCCGGUUAGCUAACCUUUUGGAAGCGGCCGUCGAAGGUGAAACCAAUAACUGGGGUGAAGAC
rnacentral:rRNA from 1 species